GGACAAAGGACAUUUAUGGCGAUUGAAGUCUUUAUGAGUGGGAUAAAGUUAUGAAAUGAAGUAGAAAGGCUUCGGUUUUCUUGUUAAAUGUGCCUUGAAGCAAACCAAUUCUCUGGCAUUGUUCCUCCUGAGCUUGGGGAUUUGACCAACUUGCAGACUUUGUGAGACGCCUCAGUUCUUCAUAUUGGAUGCUCUCCUCCAAUAGUUUGACAGGGAACUUGCCAUUGGCUUUUGCUGGGCUGAGAAACCUAACAGAUUUUAGGAUAAAUGAUAACAACUUCAGAGGAAUUAUACUUGAUUUUGUACAGAAUUGGAAACAACGGACAAGAUUGUG